ACAAGGAAACAAUAUUUUUUGGUGCCCUUAAAUGAGGAAAACAGGAGGAUUCCUUUAUUUUCUGUAACAUAUUGCUGGUUUUGUUUCAGCAACACUACGAUCAACUCCUUCUCCUCCUCCUGGAUACAUCUGCUGCAUCCAUGUCCCUAAGAGCCCCCAACAUGUGGGCGCACUUCAUUGGACAAACUCUAAAAGUGUAGCGGCAGGCGGCUUUGAACUGACAUGCAGGUCGCAGCAGAAAACACACGACCCGACCAGGUCACAAGUACCUCCACCCGUCCACAACCAGCACUCACACAGAUUACUAAUCUGAGAGCUUCAAAAGGGGUAAACUUCCCAGGACACACUCACAUACGUGCACAUGUGCUCACUUAAAGCAGCUUUGUGUUUUCUGAGAAGCACCAUACAGGCAGCUUUACAGAAGAAAUAAGAUCCCACAUGUUGCAUCCAUCACAUUCGGCUGAAAAUUCUCAAAUAAAUUGAUUUUCUUUGA